UUGACAAGACAGAUUAAAAUCCCCAAAUAUUUUUCAUAAAAGGACAAAGUAUUAAGUACUUGGUAAAAUAUAGAAGGUAAUAACUGGAGGAAACACAGGGAGAAGAAAGAUGAAAGGUAGUUGCAUAUCAGCUAUAACAGUUUUUCUAGCUUGAGCGAUUAGCCAAGGAGAUCAAGAUUUAGGCCAACUGAAAGUUACCUAAUGUUCCAAGAAGAACUUGAGUAAAAGAAUUAGUUGAAGGUGCUGCGGAUUGAAACCAGGGCACCAUGACUGAGACGCUAUCUACUAUGAUUUCAUCCUGAACUCGCUGGGCAGAUGACCUUACCAUUGUGUCCCAGAACUUCACCUUUCCAGAGCCCUAGCCUACUAGGGAAAGGCAGAAAUAGGCUGAGAGUAUGGAUUGACCUGCCGAUGUUCAUGUCCGGUGGAGAAGCAAUUACAGAAGCCAGACCUCCUACCUUCUGCACCCCAUAAAGAUCUUUGGUUCAUACUCUCAGAGGAAUAAAGAAUAGGGUGCCUUACAAUGGAGGAGAUGGGGUACGAACUCUGGUGGUGGAAGUUGUAUGGAAUUGUAUCCCUCUUUUCCCACAAUCUUGUUAAUCAUUAAAUCACUAAUAAAAUAACAUAAA